AGCGAACGCUGGCGGUAGGCCUAACACAUGCAAGUCGAACGGCAGCACAGUAAGAGCUUGCUCUUACGGGUGGCGAGUGGCGGACGGGUGAGGAAUACAUCGGAAUCUACUUUUUCGUGGGGGAUAACGUAGGGAAACUUACGCUAAUACCGCAUACGACCUACGGGUGAAAGCAGGGGAUCUUCGGACCUUGCGCGAUUGAAUGAGCCGAUGUCGGAUUAGCUAGUUGGCGGGGUAAAGGCCCACCAAGGCGACGAUCCGUAGCUGGUCUGAGAGGAUGAUCGGCCACACGGGAACUGAGACACGGUCCAGACUCCUACGGGAGGCAGCAGUGGGGAAUAUUGGACAAUGGGCGCAAGCCUGAUCCAGCCAGACCGCGUGGGUGAAGAAGGCCUUCGGGUUGUAAAGCCCUUUUGUUGGGAAAGAAAAGCAGCAGGUUAAUACCCCGCUGUUCUGACGGUACCCAAAGAAUAAGCACCGGCUAACUUCGUG
rnacentral:rRNA from 1 species